rnacentral:lncRNA from 1 species
CAGAAUUGGAGUCGGGUAGAAAAAAUACAACCAUCCCCUCUCUCUGCUGAGUCACUGUCAGAAUAGACCUUCUUGGGUUUGAAGGUGAGAGCUGAUGGGUGGGUUGGGUAAAAAGGACUUACUGGGGAUGAAAUGGAGUGUUAUGACCAUCAACCAUACUGCAUCCUCUUUGUCGACUAACAGGGUUGAGGAUAAUGAGUAAUCUGGACGGAGCAGCUUUCUUCCAAGGACCUCAGAACUCUCUGCAGAUGUGCUUCUCUCUGCAAAAUGGCUCUCACUCCAUUUCUGUGAGAACUCUUCCCGCAAACUGGGUCCCUAAGAGGAUUAGUGAAGGGGAUACCAAUUUAUUUAUACUCACCUCAGCAUGGUAGCAGCCAAACACUCCCUGACCUUCCACAAGGCGCAGAGCAGCCCACUUGUGGUGCCAUUUGCAAUAAGCAAGACAGAACUGUGUUACAACACGAUUGGGAUUCUUGCUGUGUGCAGAGAUGCCCAGAGUGGCCACACGGCCUAAGCAAGAGGUAGGCACGCUCUGCAAACAUCUCCCUGCGUGGCUUUUCC